UGCCAGACUCCUACGGGAGGCAGCAGUGGGGAAUAUUGCACAAUGGGGGAAACCCUGAUGCAGCGACGCCGCGUGAGCGAUGAAGUAUUUCGGUAUGUAAAGCUCUAUCAGCAGGGAAGAAGAUGACGGUACCUGACUAAGAAGCCCCGGCUAACUACGUGCCAGCAGCCGCGGUAAUACGUAGGGGGCAAGCGUUAUCCGGAUUUACUGGGUGUAAAGGGAGCGUAGACGGCGAUGCAAGCCAGAUGUGAAAGCCCGGGGCUCAACCCCGGGACUGCAUUUGGAACUGUGUGGCUGGAGUGUCGGAGAGGCAGGCGGAAUUCCUAGUGUAGCGGUGAAAUGCGUAGAUAUUAGGAGGAACACCAGUGGCGAAGGCGGCCUGCUGGACGAUGACUGACGUUGAGGCUCGAAAGCGUGGGGAGCAAACAGGAUUAGAUACCCUGGUAGA
rnacentral:rRNA from 1 species